GAGGGGUGGCAGAGUGGUUGAAUGCGGCGGUCUCGAAAACCGUUUAGCACUUCGGUGCUACGAGGGUUCGAAUCCCUCCUCCUCC
rnacentral:tRNA from 1 species